rnacentral:rRNA from 1 species
CCUACGGGUGGCAGCAGUGGGGGAUAUUGCACAAUGGGGGGAACCCUGAUGCAGCGACGCCGCGUGGGUGAAGAAGCGCCUCGGCGCGUAAAGCCCUGUCAGCAGGGAAGAAAAUGACGGUACCUGAAGAAGAAGCCCCGGCUAACUACGUGCCAGCAGCCGCGGUAAAACGUAGGGGGCAAGGGUUAUCCGGAUUUACUGGGUGGAAAGGGGGCGCAGACGGCGAUGCAAGCCAGGAGUGAAAGCCCGGGGCCCAACCCCGGGACUGCGCUUGGAACUGCGUGGCUGGAGUGCAGGAGGGGCAGGCGGAAUUCCUGGUGUAGCGGUGAAAUGCGUAGAUAUCAGGAGGAACACCGGUGGCGAAGGCGGCCUGCUGGACUGCAACUGACGUUGAGGCCCGAAAGCGUGGGGAGCAAACAGGAUUAGAUACCCGUGUAGUC